ACUCAAAGGAAUUGACGGGGGCCCGCACAAGCAGCGGAGCGUGUGGUUUAAUUCGAUGCUACACGAAGAACCUUACCAGGGCUUGACAUGUUAGAAGUAGGGACCCGAAAGGGCGACGACCUGUAUCCAAUCAGGAGCUUUCACAGGUGCUGCAUGGCUGUCGUCAGCUCGUGCCGUGAGGUGUUGGGUUAAGUCCCGCAACGAGCGCAACCCUCGUGCUAUGUUGAUUUCUCAUAGCAGACUGCCUUGUACAGCAAGGAGGAAGGUGGGGAUGACGUCAAGUCAGCAUGGCCUUUAUGCCCUGGGCUACACACACGCUACAAUGGGUGGGUACAGAGGGCUGCCACGACGCAAGUCGGAGCGAAUCCCUUAAAACCAUCCUCAGUUCGGAUUGCAGGCUGCAAUCGCCUGCAUGAAGCCGGAGCUGCUAGUAACCGCAGGUCAGCUAUACUGCGGUGAAUACGUUCUCGGGCCUUGUACACACCGCCCGU
rnacentral:rRNA from 1 species